rnacentral:rRNA from 1 species
UGGGGAAUUUUGGACAAUGGGGGAAACCCUGAUCCAGCCAUCCCGCGUGUGCGAUGAAGGCCUUCGGGUUGUAAAGCACUUUUGGCCGGAAAGAAACGUCAUGGGUUAAUACCCCGUGAAACUGACGGUACCUGCAGAAUAAGCACCGGCUAACUACGUGCCAGCAGCCGCGGUAAUACGUAGGGUGCAAGCGUUAAUCGGAAUUACUGGGCGUAAAGCGUGCGCAGGCGGUUCGGAAAGAAAGAUGUGAAAUCCCAGAGCUCAACUUUGGAACUGCAUUUUUAACUACCGGGCUAGAGUGUGUCAGAGGGAGGUGGAAUUCCGCGUGUAGCAGUGAAAUGCGUAGAUAUGCGGAGGAACACCGAUGGCGAAGGCAGCCUCCUGGGAUAACACUGACGCUCAUGCACGAAAGCGUGGGGAGCAAACAGG